rnacentral:rRNA from 1 species
CUACGGGGGGUACCAGUAGGGAAUAUUGGUUAAUGGGCGAAAGCCCGAACCAGCAACGCCGCGUGCACGAUGAAGGCCUUCGGGUCGUAAAGUGCUUUUUGGAGGGAUGAGGAAGGACAGUACCUUCAGAAUAAGCCUCAGCUAACUACGUGCCAGCAGCCGCGGUAAAACGUAGGAGGCGAGCGUUAUCCGGAUUUACUGGGCGUAAAGCGUGUGCAGGCGGUUUGGUUAGUUGGAUGUGAAAGCUCCUGGCUUAACUGGGAGAGGUCGUUCAAUACUGCCAGACUUGAGGAUGGGAGAGGAAGGUGGAAUUCCGAGUGUAGUGGUGAAAUGCGUAGAUAUUCGGAGGAACACCAGUGGCGAAAGCGGCCUUCUGGCCCAUCUCUGACGCUCAUACACGAAAGCUAGGGUAGCAAACGGGAUUAGAUACCCUCGUAGUC